rnacentral:misc_RNA from 1 species
GACAUACAUAUACUUGGGGGUUUUACAAACUAUUGCCUCUUAGAAGAAAGACUUAAUCUGUUUCUUUCACUUGCUAGAAUCUAUUUCAGUUAGUCUCUGAGCUUCAAACAGCACACAGCUGUGAGACUUCAUCUCAUAUGCAACUAAUUCAUCUUCAACUGGAGUUCCCUUCUCAUAAAAAAACCCAGGAAAAGGGAGGGCUGUGUCAACGAGACGAUACCAUACCAUAUCUGUUGGAGGUGGUGGAAGGAUAACACUCUCUGAAUCACCAGCCCCAUUGAAAGCAACAAACAGGUCACCUCCGAUAUCAGAGAGUAAUGUAUGGCUGACUUCAGCAUCGGCCUUCAAAGUCAUAGCCAAGAAUUUGCUAGACGGGUCAUCCCAUACCGGAGGAGAUUGGUCACUCCCAUGCCACUGGAUGUUUUCUUCCUUCAAGAAGUUUCUCUUUUGAAGAAGAUCACUUCUUCUCAUUCUUAAAUUACUCAAGAAUGAAAUAAAC